GGGGGGGGUAAGCGUUGUUCGGAAUUACUGGGCGUAAAGGGCUCGUAGGCGGCCAACUAAGUCAGACGUGAAAUCCCUCAGCUUAACUGGGGAACUGCGUCUGAUACUGGAUGGCUUGGAUUCGGGAGAGGAAUGCGGAAUUCCAGGUGUAGCGGUGAAAWGCGUAGAUAUCUGGAGGAACACCGGUGGCGAAGGCGGCAUUCUGGACCGAUAUUGACGCUGAGGAGCGAAAGCCAGGGGAGCAAACGGGAUUAGAUACCCCGGUAGUCCUGGCCCUAAACGAUGAAUGCUUGGUGUGGCGGGUAUCGAUCCCUGCCGUGCCGAAGCUAACGCAUCAAGCAUUCCGCCUGGGGAGUACGGUCGCAAGGCUG
rnacentral:rRNA from 1 species